UACGUAGGGACCGAGCGUUGUCCGGAUUCAUUGGGCGUAAAGAGCUCGUAGGCGGCCACUCAAGUCGAUUGUGAAACCUCGAGGCUCAACCUCGAGCCUGCAUUCGAUACUGGGCGGCUAGAGUCUGGUAGGGGGAUCUGGAAUUCCUGGUGUAGCGGUGGAAUGCGCAGAUAUCAGGAGGAACACCGGUGGCGAAGGCGGGAUCCUGGGCCAGUACUGACGCUGAGGAGCGAAAGCGUGGGGAGCAAACAGG
rnacentral:rRNA from 1 species